UCAUAAGUUUUUUUUUUUCCGUGUACUCUCAUUGUACUUAUAAAAUUAUCCAUCAAACUUAAAAUAUGGUUCUGUUCAUCCAAAUUUAUUCCAUAUGCACUGGAAUUGUCCCCUAACAUUUGCUGAGAGUUAUGAAGAUCAAACCAGUUAUUUAUCAACAAAAUUGUUUCUGAACACUAAAUAUAAACAAUUAUUAUAAUGUUAGUGCACCCGUGUCUCCAUAGUAUUGCAUUGCUUUAGCAACGGUCCUGGAAAGAAGUUGGGCCGCGGUUUUAACUUUUUGACGUUGAACUCCACUGACAUUUAAAUGAAACUCUGUCACUUUUAACCAUGUUAAAUCCAUGAUCAAUGAUGUUGUUUCUUAUCAAUUUCAAUAAAUGUGGUACAUCAGCAAAGACAUGGACGUUUUUUCCAGUGUUUGGAUGUAAAAAACUACUAUUUGUAUGGGUAACUUUCAAUGAAUUCCACAAAGAAAUUAUUGAAGCAGUCAUUGGUGUGUCAUAAGAAUAAAAGACUGGCUGCUUCCAAGAUUUGAAGAGUCCUCUAACCAUGACCACUUGCACAGUUUGAUGUGGUCCUAAAACUUGAUCAAUUGCUUUAUCAUAGCAUACAUCAUGUGCUAUGUAAACUUCAUCAAAAGAGAGAACAACAAUUUUAUCUCUAUCAGAUAUGGAUGUACCUUAAA